CCUCCGGGUGGCAGCAGUGGGGAAUAUUGCACAAUGGGGGAAACCCUGAUGCAGCGACGCCGCGUGAAGGAAGCAGUAUUUCGGUUUGUAAAUUUCUAUCUGCAGGGAAGAAAAUGACGGUACCUGACUAAGAAGCCCCGGCUAACUACGUGCCAGCAGCCGCGGUAAUACGUAGGUGGCGAGCGUUAUCCGGAUUUACUGGGUGUAAAGGGAGCGUAGGCGGUUUAUCAAGUGAGAAGUGAAAGCCAGGGGCUCAACUCAGGGACUGCUUUUAAAACUGUGGAACUAGAGUGCAGGAGAGGUAAGUGGAAUUCCUAGUGUAGCGGUGAAAUGCGUAGAUAUUAGGAGGAACACCAGUGGCGAAGGCGACUGACUGGACUGUAAAUGACGCUGAGGCUCGAAAGCGUGGGGAGCAAACAGGAUUAGAUACCCGAGUAGUC
rnacentral:rRNA from 1 species